rnacentral:lncRNA from 1 species
AUUUAUUAUGAAUUUAUUUUCGAUGAUAGAGCUGUUCGUUAAUUGAGCUUUCGAUUCAAUGAUUGAUAUGAUUAAAUAUAAUAAAAUUUAUUUAAAAAUUAAAUAUUUUAAUUUUUAAUAUUAUUAACCGAACGAUCAAAAAGUUAUAAAAUUUAUAAUUUUUAUAGUUAAUAUAAUGUGUUUGUUUUUUUAACUGUAUAAAAGAAUUCAAGUUAACUAAUUUUUUAUUAAAUUUUUUUAAGCUAUUUAAAAUAAGAUCUAGAUUGUAGAUUUUAAAUACAAAAAUUAUAUCACUAUUUUUUAAAGAAUAUUUAUUUUCAGCUGGUCAUUUUUUAUUCACUUUCUCGACGAGAAAACAAUAUUGAAAAAGUGUAAAUUUUGAUUUUUAAAUAAUUUAAAUGAUUUAGAUAAUGUCGAUUAUCAAUUUGAAAGUUAUAUCAUCGAAAAUAAAUUGAUAAUAAACGAACAGUAUUCUAGCGAAACUCGUAUUAUUAUUAUUAUUAUUUUACUACUCUAUUUGAGCUAUUUGAUAUAUUUGCAUUAUACUUUAUUAAUUUUUUAUUUUGUAUGCCACAAUUUUUUUCUUCAAAAAAAAAUAUAAAUAUUAUACUAUUUAUUCUAUUUUCUAAAAUUGCAAUUGCAAUAGUUUUAUCUUUUUACCUACCGUCCCUAGAGCAAGUGGCAAAUGACUGGUGAUUGAUAUCCAAGAUCCAAGUUCGAAUUAUAGUUGAUUCAUAUUUUCAGUUAAGUUUAUUUCUAAAUGAAAUAAAUGAAGCGGGUAGCGUGCUACCUAUCUCUCUCUCAAAAAAAAAAAGGUUUUAUCUUUUUUUCUCAAAAUAAUUGCUAAUCAAUUUUUUAAGAUGGGAAUCACUAAUCAGGCCAUAUAUUUUAAUAGUUUUUAAAUUUUAUUCUGAAAUUAAAAUUCUAUUCGAAAACUGAAAACACAUUAAUCAAACAUAAUUUUUUAAAAAAUUUAUUAUUAUUAUUAUU